rnacentral:lncRNA from 1 species
GUAGAGUAGGUUAGCCGGAGAUAAGAGGGACAAUGGGCACCCGGCAACGUAUUUUUAAACACCGAUAAAACGCCCGACGAUAGACCAAAUAAGCUGCUACGGUCGACCGUUCGGGUACGAGACGGACUUUGAUUGCGACGAAAUUUGACACGCGGCCUACCUAUUAUAAAACACGACCGCACACCAAGUUUCAACCCAAUCAGAGAAAGUUUUAUACACGCUUUUGAAAACAAGAUUUAACGGGCGCGUCCGAGUAUGGUCGGGCUCAGAACGGACAACGUCGAGAACCAGCAACUAAUAAUGGAUGCAACUUUUGAAAACUAGCGGCAACGGGAUGCCGAUGCAAUGCAGAUGAUGCGCAUGAUGCGAUGAUGAUGCGACAAAUAAAAACAACCACAUGACGAAAACGGAAUAAAGAGGGAAUCUUCUAGAAUGUUGGUCUCGGGCUGUCACAACUUAGUACCCUAGAUAUUGUUCUUCGUGGAUGCUUUGGCGUCCUAGAAGCUUGGUGGUGUCUCGGAGCUCAAUCAUUGUGGUGUAAAGCUCUGGGCAAGCGUCGGGGUCUCCAAUUAGGUUGUGGAGAUUGCCCCGAGCAAUUUAUACGGGUACCCGUGACCGCCCCCAAGGUUUGCCAUUUGUACGGGUUCGGUGACCGCCCUCAAGGGUCCUUUAGUGGAAUCACGAUAUCUUGCAUUGUGCGAGGGCGCGAGGAGAUUACGAUGGCCUUAAUGGCAUCUUGGGGAGCAUUGUGCCUCCACACCACUCCAACGGAGAUUAGCAUCUGCAAGGGUGUGAACUUCGGGAUACAUCAUCGUCUCCGCGUGCCUCAAUUAUCUCUUACCCGAACCCUUUACUUUGUGAUAGCCAUAUUGUUUUUUGUCAUAUAUCUUGCUAUCACUUAGUUGUUUAUCUUGCUUAGCAUAAGUUGUUGGUGCACAUAGGCGAGCCUAGUUGUUUUAGGUUUUGUGCUUGACAUAUUAAACGUUAGUUUUAUUCCGCAUUUGUUCAAGCCUAAACCGUAAUUAUUUUAAAGCGCCUAUUCACCCCCCCUCCUUUAGGCGACAUCCACGUCCUUUCAACACCUUCUCGCAAUUGAAUGUGCAUGACACCACGGUUGGGAAAUCGUUCUACUAGUGUUGCCAGUAGUUGACAUCUCCUGGGGCAACCAUGAUGGUGGCAUGAGGAGUUGGUUCAUGACAGAUUCUUCUUCGUCGCCUGCAUGUCAUGUCCCUUGGUUUGUCGUUGCGUCUUCUUCUUACAUAGAGGCAUUGCUCUGGUAGAUGCUUGAUUGGGUGGCAAGUAAGAGAUUUAUUGCUAAUCAACAAGUUAAUCAAUCAUUUAAUCAAUUAAUCAAGCUAUUUAUCGGUUUAUCGUCUACUCGAUGACCAUACGAGUAGGAAUUAAUCGGCAAGUUAUAAUCGUAUGAAUUCUUCAAUAGGGUAUAGAGGUGAAGUCAGAGCUACACGUCAAGAGGCGGCUCGUUGGCAACAAUAGCCUCCAAAGGUAGGUUCGGUGUUUAGCAAUAUUGAGUGACCACAUCUAGCGAUGUCGGUGCAAGAUAUUUUUAUUUCGCAUGUGAGGCUCGUCGCGAAGUAGGGGAUGCCUACUCAUCAAUGCCUCCGACCGAUUAUUUGUCAUAAGCCAACAAGGACUCAUGCAUCUUUCACGGUAAAGCCUCUUCAUUGGUCGUCUCUCAUAUAGCAAAAAGGCUAAACGUAUAAAGAGUUACGUAUGGUUAUGAUUCUUUCUUUCUUACUAACAUUUUCCCUCCUGAUUUUUGAGGGGAUGGGGUUCUCAUCCUCCUUAAUCUCCAAUUAAAAUUCACCUGCGUGUAAAAUCCAUGUAAACCUAUCUAUGUGUAGUGUUACUGUUAGUCUCAUUUGCUGGGAGAGGCGUCGAACAUGACCAUUGCUGGAAACCUCGACACGAUUAUUCUCUUCAAUGAUGUGUGGGGGUCUUUGUGCUCUAGAGUGUCUAGCUUUUGUUGGCAUGAUGUGCUAAUUUUUGCUCGAGUCUUUGUUCAUUAACGAGGUGAUUUUCUUUUAAAUUAAGAGAAAUACUUGAGUUCAUCCGACGGAUGUAUCUGUUUGCGUCAUCCAUCUUUAUAAUCAUCGGAUCUGUUAUUGAUUAGACGAUCGAAAGGCAACCUCCGCCACUUCAUUUUCUUGCAACUUGACUUGUGCUUGAGAAGCGUUUUCGCAACCCGAUCCUUAUAGCAGACCGUGUAGUCGCCGAGCUCAUUAGAAACAGCAUUCCUGUUGCUAGAAAGAUUUCUAUAAUAUCAAUGGUUUUGCAAAACUUUCUUCCGUAGUAGGUGAAGGUAAAAAAUAAUUCAGCAACAUUAACUUUGUUGCAAAACAACUUUUGCAACAAUACCUGUGUUACAAAAAAUCUGCAACAUGAAAUCUAUUGCAAACAUCUAAGUGCAACAUUAUUCUUGUUACAAGCCGGCAGUUAAAUAUGACAACCAUCCACAUUUAAUACAAUGGCUCGCUAGACGGCAAAUCUUUUAAAAAAAUCAAUCGACCGACGGGUAGCGUUUUUCUUAAAUUAGUGAAUAGAACCGAAAUUUUGUGAGAAGCUGAAAAAUAAAAACACUAUGCCACGGUUUACCUAAAAAUGGCAACUUUACUUAAUGUUGGAUAGAAAAGUUGACCAGUAGGCUAGCAUGAGGCCAAAUAUCAUGGAACAUCACUUGUACCAGAGAUUUGGCGACCUCGCGAUUAACGGUUACUUACGAUAAACUUUGAGGUUGGCCAAUGUACAACCACCCAGGGAAUUGCAUGAACCACCAACUAUUGGUGCUGAUUUUGCACAAAACACUUACUCUACAAGUUUAUUGCACAUAUAACAGCACAUAUAGCUGUAAUCCAUUGUGGUUCGGUCUAAUCCAACGUUUGAACAAGUUCAUGUGAUUUUAGGAUUGGCCCCGCUUUUAUGGGCACCCGUGGGCAAAAGAAAACAGCCACCACAGCCGACCAACUAAAACUAUCAAUGUCUGCCAAACAUUUGAGGUUCAACUAAGCUUAAGGACUCCUUUGAUACAAAGAAAUUUCAUUGGAUUUUUGGAGGAUUUGGAUCCUUAGGAUUUUUUCCUACGAUGGUCGUUUGAUUCGUAGGAUUGAAAUCCUUUGAAAUUUUUACAUAGGAUUCGUUUGUACUACAUUUUGAAGGAAAAUUUCCAUCCAUUCAAACCUCUUUGCAGAAUUCCUUUGUUUUUCCUGUGCUAUCAAACACACUUUCAAAUCCUGUAGUGUAGAAAAGGACAUGCCACUCUAUUCCUACGUUUUUCCUAUUCCUACAUUUUGACAAUCCUACGAAUCAAACAGGCCCAAUUUUUCUUGAUUAGUACUGAGUACACGAAGGAUUUAGUGAAAUAUUUGUGCACAUUUGUAGAAAUGUAAGAUUUCGAACGAGCGAACAGAAGUUGUCAAUAUCUUCCAGACCUCUAGUUCAGAUGAGUUGAGAUAUUCCUAGGUUAGUGCUGGCCACAUUAAUGGUCAACUAGAUUUUUUUAAAUGUUGAAUUUAAAACCAAAAUUUGAAUGAGACAACUAAAACUGUCAACACCUACCAAGCCAUUGGUCCAAAUAAGUUACCUUUUUCAAGAAUAGUACUCGAUACAUGUGUGAUUUACUGAAUUUCUCUCGUGUUUUUCUGGAAACGUUGAUUUUUUUGAGUAAAAAUAUAAAUGGACCGUGUUUUGAGUAAAAUAAAAAUGGAUCACAUCCAUACGCCGAUUGGGAGUCCUUACUUUGAUCUGUUGGGUGAUGUGACCGAUUUUCAUUGCCACGUGUGAAACAAUGUGAAAAUUGCAAUGGGUUAAAACAAUGUGACGUUUUGCACAACGACCCGUAGGGUAGGUGCUCUGUACAAAAUCAACACCGAUAGUUGAUGGUAUGUGCAAUUCCCUCCGCCAAACGCAGCAUGAAAAUUACCUCCUCGGAUAGAAAUAAACAGUGCCAAACCAAAGCCCCGCCGUAUCAAAACAGUUGAAUAUAAGCAGCGAGUUAGAAAAAAACAGUAGCAUACGAGAAGCUGGUGCGUGAUAAUGCAGAUUCGGAUUCCACGUCCACCCACGCACUGAGUCACGGAGCGAAGCUUGCAGGCAACUUCCGGGCUAGCAGACGCCGCCGCCCGCCUUUGUUCCUGGCCACUACUUGCUUCCGGUCCGUGUCAUCGAGUCGACACGCGAGAGGAACCGAGCCACCGGCGGGCCGUGUGAGCCGAGCACUCGAUCCCCGGCCCAGCCACGCAACCCCCCUCAUUCCCGGUCCAACUCCAACGUAUGUGGAGAAGACGGGGUACGCGACAGGAGUUCACCUCGAUGCAUCUAUCCACGCUACACGCGUCCGGCCGGGACGGGUUUGUGGAGGCUAGACGGAGGAGAGGAGGCUCCACGUUUGUCGGCAACAAAGCGGUGGCUGCAGAACAAAUCCAUCCGCGUCGGUCAAUGCGUUUUGGAAUUUGAUGCGGUUGCAAGGAGGCUGUGGAAUCCCUCUCUCCCUCUCUCUGCGGUUGGGAGGAGAUAUGGAUCAGUGGCUGGCUGGACGGCGUGGCGACGCGCUCGGAACAUAUUCCGCGGCUCUCUUAUUACGGAGGCAGCAGCAUAUCAUGGCGGCCAAGCAACGCAUCGGCCAACUCCUGGUGGGAUCACAUCAUCAGGAUGCGAAUUCCCCGGUGAAAACAGCGACAUCACGCAGCGGAGACAAAACAUCAGCCGCGUACGUUUCUGCCAAAGAAAAAUGAGGGGAGAAGAAAGGGAGCUUUCUUUGGCAUGGUGAAAAAAAGACUGCCGCAUAUGCGAUUGGGAGAUGCCUCCCUCCCCGCUCGGUGCUCAAUACUACAAGAUGGCAAGCCUUUUUUGUGCACUUUUUUAAAGCAAGAAAGGGGCCGGCGAGAAACGAGACGGCUGCUUGUAAAAUAUUGAUUUGCUUUCAACGGUGAGAGUCGGCGUAAAGGAAAUGGCGGCAUAUCGGCAAAGCCUAAUGGAAUCGUCAAGGCGUUUAUGCACGUCGUGAUCACGUGAGAUAUGGGUCCCCGAACGAUUUGGCGGGAUCGUACUAGGUGAAAGUCGGGCGGGCGGCCGAUCAAAUAAAUAAAAAACGAACGAAAUCGCCGUUCGUUCGUUUAAGUCAGAUGCACGGACGAUCAAUUCAAACAAACAAAAAACGAACGAAAUCACUGAUGGUUUGGGUCGGAGUUGGUCUGCUACACGACGUGAUCGUUUCGUGAUCAAACGAUCAGUGCCCGACAAAUCGUUCGGGGAGCCGUCGCUCUCGCACAUAUCUCCGGCUCGGGUCACGCCAUCAUCCAUCAAUCCUUGUGGAUCUUAACAGAUUGGAUACGUAAAACAACUUGGUUGCUCUUCACUUUUAGCGCCAAGAUUGGAUGCGCACAAGCACACGCACUUCCCUUCUCCAAAGGGCAGUUCGUUCGCGGGUAGUAAAAAGUUUCUCAGGUGAUUGGCGAAAGGUAGUAAGGCCACGUGCAAGUAACAGUGCGCCAGCUGCUUUGCCUACAUCCAACUCACCGAGCCGCCAUCCUUCAAUGAAUUAUUCAGGCAUCGAACCGCCGUCUUGAAUUAUUGGAGCGGUUGCACGAAUCAGAAACGCAGAAGAUAAGCAUCAAAUAGGACCCGUCAAACAAAAGAAUCAAUUCGUGCAUGUAUCCCACGCGCAGUUUGUUUACUCCUGCUUGUACGAUGUGAUAAUAACAGGACUAAGCAAAACUUGCAUCUAUUAGGAGUAGUAACAAGAAUUACAGAAUUAAAAUAUGAUUUGAGCAGAAAGGAAUGCAGUAGGACAAGCUCGUCUUAGAUAAAAAAAAUGCUUAUUUAUAAGUUGUGACAGAUUUUCUCCAAACAGUACGCUCAUUGUGGCAGACGCAGCAAACCACCUAGAGCUAAUAGUUUAUUCAGAGUAGCAAUAGCCUGGCCGGCUGCUUCACAGUAACCAAAACGACAAACGGAAGUCAGAACGAAUUCCACAGACGGAACAGCGACAGCAAAAAUCAUCUUAUCACUCGCACAGCACCGCGCCCUCCUCCAGAGAAUCCUCCUCCGCCCGCCAUGCGAGCAGGUUGGCAAGCUUGCCUUCCUUGACCAGAGGGUGGCCGCUCUCCACAUUCUCGCCCUCGAAGCAGUGGAAGACGGACCUGGGCGACCCGGCGGAGACAGCAACCUCUUCAUUCGCGGUAAAGCUCUGGUAGAUGAGGACGCCCCCGCAGGGGAGCUCCUGCUCCACGAUGUUGUUGCAGUCGUAUGCCUCGGCGUCGAGCUUCUUGCCCCAGGUGGCGGCGUGGCCGCGGCCACCGAAGAUGGUGACCGCCACAGAGAACUCUGAAGGGCCGAAGCACCGGAGAACCCUCUUGACGAUGUCGCCGUAGACCAGGGCGGAGGCGUCCAUGCCCUGGACCUCAUAGCUCGCGUAGCUGAAGCCGUCCUCGGGGGUCACAUGGAUGGUGGAGAAGGCAGAUCCGUUGAUGGCGUUCAUGGAGUAGCCGCAGGGCUCGAAGUCGAAGUCGCACACCUCCAUCUCAGGGAUGAUGUUGGAGAUACCAGAGAGCUUGGUCAUCUCCUUGGCACAGGAGACGUGGCCAUCAGCAGAAGUCUUGAAGAAGACAGAGGCCUUCUUCUUGUCAAGCCCAGUCAUGCACAUCUCCAGGGUGACCAUGGGCUGCUCGGGUUGCUCAGUGGCAUAGUAGAUGUGCCACUUCUGGCCAGGCUUCGCUGGGUCGCCAAUCACAUAGGCAUUGCCACCAGACUUCAGGUGGCCGAAGUAGCGGUUCAGGACAUCAACCUCCUCAGAGAAGCUCCUGUGGGGAGCAGGCUGUGCGCCGGGGAAGAUGAACAUCCCACGGGAGUACUUCACGGCAGCAAGCGGCAUGCACAGCUCCUCAGCUAGCUCAAGAAUCCUUGGAAUGGUGAGCAGAAGCAUGGUAGUCCCACAGGUCUUGAUCACAAUCUUCUGAGAGUAGAUAAACAGGCUCGACUCAGAUAGCACAUACGAGUCAAAGUCCUUGUUGGAGAGCUCGGACACAAUGGUGCACCGUGCAAGAUCAAGAACAGAGUCAAUCUGGGCCCUAGAGAGGGCGCGCAGGCCACGACCAUGAGGGUCAGCAAAGAUUGAUGCCUCGUUGAAGGUGAUCUCGAGGCGCUUCUCGUAGCCCUCAAACCCGAUCGCAGAGGUCGGGGCGGCCAUUGUUGCAGUUUGAGUCAGAAAGCAGAGCAGAGAGGAACAGAGGGAGAGAGACUAGAGAACUGGUCGAUUAUCGUGAAGCAGCAAGCCAG